CGUAGUGAUUCGGUUUGCAGUAAACGUUACGCUUAAUAGCCUAUUCUUACAUUAUUGAUAUUAUAAAUUAAUCGGAGUUUCUUUUCACACGCGCAUAUAUUAAAGUUCAUCGAUCUCAUUUCAUGUUUACGACAGUCAAUGAAGAAUCGCGUAGGUUUAACGUGACGAAUCUCGCUCAGUGUCGGUAAACUCACCUGUUAAAGUCAUUAGAUAAAGCACUUCAAACGAACUUCUGCCGCCGUGACGUCAUCGGGGUCGCGUCCUGUGCCUCAUCGCGGCAGAGGGCAGUAGAAGAACAGACACACACUGUCUCAAACAGGUCCUGUAAGUGAAACUACAGUGAUGAUUACUUCGUUCUGGCCAGAGAAACAGCAGGGUGGGGUUAUUGUUCAUCUCUAAAACCAAACUGAGGCUUUGAUGCACAAAUUGGCUCUCUCAGGCUCGGCCCGUCCUCCAUCAUGGCUCCGGGCUGAUGAGUAACCCCACUUACGACGUGCCCCGGGUCCUCCACGCAAUUAAUGAAGUCAGGCCUUUGAUUGAUUUACUCCAUAACGGGGCGCUCUCAGGGAAUUGAGAGGAGAUCAUGAAUUUGGAAAAUACAUGAGCGAUGACACGUCCUCUC